rnacentral:ncRNA from 1 species
UAAGAUAAAAUAAUAUUAUUUUAAAUAAUAAUUUUGUUAAUUAGUAUAAUUUUAAAUAAUUUUAAUUUAUAUAUAAUUACUUAAAUUAAUUUUUAUAUUUAAUAGAUUAAAUUUAAUUAAGUUAAUUAGUUUUUUGUAUUUUUAUAUAAAGUUUAAUUCUGACUUAAUAAUUUAUUAUAAGUUUUAUUUAAUAUAUAAAUAUUUAUGUUAUUAAUUUAAUUUUUUAAAUAAAAAUAGAUUUUUAAUUAUUUAGUAUAUAAAAUUAUGUAUAAAUAAAAAUAAGUUUUUUUAUAGAAUUAUAUUUAUUUAAGAUUGAAUAAAUUUGUGCCAGCAUUCGCGGUUAGACAAACUAAUUUGAGUAAAUUAAUUAAAUUUUAAAGGUAUUAUAAUUAUUUAUUUAUUUUUAAUAAAAUAAAUUAAAUUAAGGUGAAAUUUUAUUAAUUUUUUUAUUAAUUUAUUAAUAAAUUUAAAAUAUUCUUUGAAAAUUUUAAAUUAAACUAGGAUUAGAUACCCUAUUAUUUUAAUUGUAAAUUUGAUUUUGUAGGUUAAGUUAUUUUUAAAUUUUUAUUUUAAAAAUUUUUAUUUUAAAUUAGGUAGUAUUAGUUAUGAUCUUGAAACUUUAAGAAUUUGACGGUAAUUCAUUCAAUUUAGAGGAACUUGUUUUUUAAUUGAUAAUCCACGAUAAUAAUUACCUAAUUUAUUAAUGUUUGUAUAUCGUCGUUUUAAAAAAAUUUUUUAAGAAUAAUUAAUUUUUAAGAUAUAAUUGAAUUAUUAUAUAAAUUCAGAUCAAGGUGCAGCUAUUUAUUUAGGUUAAAAUGAGUUACAAUAAAGUAAAUUUAUACGGAUUUUAAUUAUUGAUGAUUAAAUUAAGGUGGAUUUAAAAGUAAAUUUAAAUAAUUAUUUAAAUUGAGAUUUGUUUUGAAUUAUGUACAUAUCGCCCGUCGCUCUCGUUAUAAAAUGAGAUAAGUCGUAACAAAGUAAAAGUACUGGAAAGUGUUUUUAGAAUUAAAAUUU